rnacentral:rRNA from 1 species
CCUACGGGCGGCUGCAGUGGGGAAUAUCGGACAAUGGGGGGAACCCUGAUCCAGCCAUGCCGCGUGUGUGAAGAAGGCCCUCGGGUUGUAAAGCACUUUCAGUGAGGAAGAACGCCUGGUGGUUAAUACCCAUCAGGAAAGACAUCACUCACAGAAGAAGCACCGGCUAACUCCGUGCCAGCAGCCGCGGUAAUGCGGAGGGUGCGAGCGUUAAUCGGAAUUACUGGGCGUAAAGCGCGCGUAGGUGGCUUGAUAAGCCGGUUGUGAAAGCCCCGGGCUCAACCUGGGAACGGCAUCCGGAACUGUCAAGCUAGAGUGCAGGAGAGGAAGGUAGAAUUCCCGGUGUAGCGGUGAAAUGCGUAGAGAGCGGGAGGAAUACCAGUGGCGAAGGCGGCCUUCUGGACUGACACUGACACUGAGGUGCGAAAGCGUGGGUAGCAAACAGGAUUAGAUACCCCUGUAGUC